CUGCAUUCAAGCGAUUCUCCUGCCUCAGCCUCCCAAGUAUCUGGGAUUACAGGCGCCUGCCACCACGCCCUGCUAAUUUUUGUAUUUUUAGUAGAGAUGGGGUUUCACUAUGUUGGCCAGGCUGGUCUCAAGCUCCUGACCUCAGGUGAUCUGCCCGCCUCGGCCCCCCAAAGUGCUGGGAUCACAGGCGUGAGCCACUGUGCCUGGCCUAAAGGCCACUUUUACAGGAAGAAAGGACUACUUACACUCUCAGAAAAAAAACCCAAAAUAUAGCAACCGAUCAUAGAAGAACUAUCAAAGAAAGCUACUGAUCACGAAUGAUCUCAGUUACUGAAUAUUAAAUGUGCAAUAUCCUAAAAUGUAGCUUGGUUUGAAUAAGCAGACAAUAACCAGGUCAUCCAAAAUAUCUUACACCUUUGUUUUAUUUACCAGCCCUCCUCCCCCACUACAGGCGCAUUACCCAGCUUCUAUUUUCACAUGAGAAGCCCAUUUCCUGUCUUAAAAGUAAAGCUGGAUUUUCACCCCUCGGGAGAAAACCACCCAUAACAGUUGUCUUUUCUCAGUUCAAAAAGGCAAGAUUAUUAAACAGUGAGAGUGUGGAAGGACAAAAGGACAAUGUUCAGGCCACCACUUCACCCAGAAGAAGAAUGCCUUUUGUUUUCUGAACUUUGAAAUCUGAUUUCCCUUUCCUAUCCUCACAACUUACAAAAGAAAAAAAAGGAAAAGGGCCGACGCCUGUAAUCCCAGCACUUCGGGAGGCCGAGGAGGGCGGAUCACCCGAGGUCGGGAGUUU
rnacentral:lncRNA from 10 species